rnacentral:rRNA from 1 species
CCGGCGACCGGCGGCACGGGUGAGUAACACGUAUGCAACCUGGCCGUGACAGAUGGAUAACCGGGAGAAAUCCCGCCUAAUACAACAUAAUGCCGGGAGGGGACAUCCCCUGCCGGUCAAAGGGGGCGACCCCGGUCAUGGAUGGGCAUGCGGCGCAUUAGGUAGUUGGUGGGGCAACGGCCCACCAAGCCGACGAUGCGUAGGGGUUCUGAGAGGAAGGUCCCCCACAUUGGAACUGAGACACGGUCCAAACUCCUACGGAAGGCAGCAG